rnacentral:misc_RNA from 1 species
GAUGAAGAACGUAGCGAAAUGCGAUAAGUAAUGCGAAUUGCAGAAUUUCCGUGAGUCAUCGAAUCUUUGAACGCACAUUGCGCCACUGGUAUUCCGGUGGGCAUGCCUGUUCGAGCGUCAUUAUCCUCCCUCAAACCCCGGGUUUGGUGUUGGACCCAAGUUGUGUGAACAACUGGUCUCAAAGACAAUGACGGCGUCCGUGGGACCCUCGGUGCAACGAGCUUUUAGGAGCACGCAUCGAGUUGCAAGGACCUUCCGGGCCGGUCUCCUUUACCAUUUUACAAGGUUGACCUCGGAUCAGGUAGGAAUACCCGCUGAACUUAAGCAUAUCAAUAAGCGGAGGA